rnacentral:lncRNA from 1 species
UGGAGAAUACUUAGAUACCUCGAAGAAUAUAUCAUUUUCAUAACAUCAGCCACAUUAAAACUGCUUCCACCAAUUCCUCUUACCGUCAUAAUUUGGCAGAUCCCCUUAUCAACAAGCUUACCCGCAUUCUCAAACACUUCUACCUACCUUCAAAUUUUGGUGGAUCCUCUUGUUAUCCCAUUUGCCAGUCUUCUCAGUCACGCUAUGAUCAUUCAGUCUUACUACUUGUCGCGAGAGUUAUACGAUGACUACCCCUUUUUAUGCCCUGGUGGGCUUCCUGGUUCUUUGUACUUACGAACUUCAUAUGUGGCCAUAGCCCUGCUAUGGUCUUACACAUUAUGAUCUCAUGUUUACUAUCCUGGUGGACUUCAUAUGUUGCCAUAGCCCAACUAUGAUCUUACACACUAUGGUCCCAUCUUUACUGUCUUAGUAGACUUUAUAUGUUACCAUAGCCCAACUAUGGUCUCACACAUUAUGGUGCCAUGCACCUAUGACUCCGAAGAAUUAGUAAACCUUUUUUGAGGUGUCACCUCGAAGGACCAAUCGAUAACCACUAUCACGGUGUUGCUCCAUAGAGUUGAUAGAUCGUCAUCACGGUGUCGCUCUUGCAACCGGUAGAUAACCAUUCCACGAUGCCGCCCAACUCCCUCAGCUCCCCGAACUAUUCGUUCGUUUCUCUAUUACGCUAACUUUUCCUAUCUUCAUCUACCUCGUCAAGGCAUCUCCCUCAUUACUCUGUAUUAAAUAACAUAUAUGCAUUUCACGUAAUUAAUUGUAUUUAUUUCUAUAGCAUACAGUAUGUCGUCCAUUAAUACAUCAACUCACAACUAAUUAGCAUACAAUAUACAUACUUGCAAGGAUACUCAUUCUUACGCAUCAUUAUGCAUACACAACAUACUCGUUCACCAUGUUCAUACACAACCACAGAUUCAGACAUCACAGAACAGACAUAGACACAUAUCAUUCAAGCAGUUCAAUGUUAUCAAUCACCCAAAGAUGGAGCAUAGAAACUCACCUAAACUUUUUUAUCCUUGCCAGCUUAGCUUUUCCAAAUGCUAGAGCCUCCAUCAUCCUGGACACUAAGCACGACAACCGUAUAUCAGUUAAAUCAAAAGAAUUCUAACUUUAAACCUUGAAUCAAAUUUCUAUAUAGGAGCUUUUUAGGGAUUAUUACUUCUUUUUCCUCUAAUUAUGGACAUAGAGGGAAUUAGGAGCUUACCAACUUACUGGAUUUUAUUUUUCUUGACCUUAGACCUCACGAUCACCACCCCACGCAACGAUUUUCUUAACUCUCCCUUCUUCGAAGCAACCGAAGAAGAUGAUGCAAAUGAGAAGGAAAUAAAAUCAAAAUUGAGAAGAAUUCAUCUGUUGAGUAAGGCUUCUCCCCUAUAUAUAACCCUUUUCGCAUGGUCAUCAAAGCCCCAAUUAACCACUCACCAAUAAUUAUUGUGCCUCCCACUAAGGGACCAGCUAUUUCUCUUUUAACUGAACGAGAAUGGAAACUUAACUAUUUACCAAUCAAUCACAAAAUUCCUAAAAUUUCCAGUAAAUCUUGCCUUCUUAUCAUUCUAUUCAAAUAACUCCUAACUUUCCUUUAAUUUUGGGGCAUAAGUGAAAACCGAGUGUGACACUUUCCAUCCACUAAGUUUAUUUGUUAAGCUUUAAUUCAUUUUACCAUUAUUUAUUAAAUUACCCUUUUAGCCCUUCCAUAAAUCAUAUAGCUAGCCACUGUCCACUACCCUUAUUAAUGAUCAUGGUCUAAUUGCUAACUUGAUCCUUGUCCCUUACUUUUAAUUACCAGUUCUUUGGCAAUUUUAAAUUUAACCACUUUUACAAUUUAGCCCUUAUACUUAAAUUAUUCACUAAUUUAAUAAAAUUUCUUAUUCAAAAUUUAAUUCACUUCUAAAAUAACUUUGUAAAUAUUUAGUUUACGAAAAUGGAGUCCCAAAAUUAGAGUUUUCAGCACUAUUGACUUUCGGGUUGUUACACAUUAGACGCAUGUUAAAUCUUUCAUGAACUACCAGUUUAAUAAUAUAUUUAAAGAUUAUUGCAUCCACCACAAAAUAAGAUUAUAUAUUUUCAUAACCAAUGCCAGGACUUAGCGAAAAGCUUCACAUUUCUUAUUUCGUUUUUGUAAAACUACUUCAUUUGUACCCUUACUGGCUUUAUACCUUUAGCUAUAUAGACUAUGGGUCCAAAACCUCUACAAAUUUAAUUGUACUUGAGUUACGUCUUUCAAUUUUGGUCAAUCUAUUCCAUAUAUAUAUUUCUUGACAAAUUUAUUCAAAAUUAUCAUUUUCUUUUUUUACCUCAAUAAUACUAUUGCAUGCAAAAUCGUUGUAAAAAAAAUUUCUAUUUCAUGGUUCCAUAUUUUCUUGUAUUGACAUAACUUAUCAAGAUCUCUUUAUUUUCAUUUUUUAUCAUUUUUAAGUACGUGAAUCCCUUUGAGAGUUUUAAUAAUUAGUUAUGUCUUAGGCCUCUUCAAGAGCACCUACCUCCACUAUAUGAUCAUUUAGAUUUAUUCUUUUCUUUUACAAGAAUUAUCAUCUAUCAAACAACCAUGACUCAGGCAUGUAUUACCUUUAAUUAGUCUAAUAAGUUUUCCUACUGGAAUUUCAGUUCAAAUCAAAACAUUAGCUGGUAUGUAACACUUGGUUAUUCUCAUCAAGUCAAUAGGUGCAUUUGGCAGUUAAGUUGUACUAAAGUGAAUUAUCUUUUUGAAUUUCUAAUUCAAAUUACUUUCUACGAGGAUCUACAUAAUGAUAAUUCAUUCUAUUUAAUCAUUUCAUCUAGCUAUUACCAUUUUUCCCCCUGAUGUUGGGAAAACUUGUUAAAUUAAAGUCCUAAUCAUCAAAUCAUAUCAUAAUUGAAUCUCCAAUCCGAUCAAAACAUAUAAUAAUAAGAGAUUCAUAAUUAGUAUAUAUUCCAAACAUUAUUUGAAUAUCCAUUUUGUGCAUUGUGGUGGAGCAACUUAAACAUAUAUCACACAUUUAAAAAUUCUAAAAUGGAAUGUAUUUGAAAAUUAAAAAGCCAACUGUAAUGAAAAGGAUUUAUCAAAACGUAUUGGCAUGAUGCGUACAAGUGUAGAUUGAUAUAAAAUAUCAUAUCCUUAUAUACAAAAAAAAAAUUCUCAACAGUAAUGGUUUAGCUAUUAACUUAAGGCAUUUAAUCAUUAAUUUUGCUAAACCAUUUCAUUCGUAUAAACAAUAGGCUUUUGCAAGUUACUCGCACUAAUAAUCUAGCAUAUAAUAGUCAUUGAAAGUAUGAGUAAUAAAGUCACCAACAUUAGCCAGACUUGUACCAAUUGCAUAAUCUGAAAGUUUUGUUCAUAAACAAAUCAUUAAAUAAGUAAUAUCAUAAACUACAAGUUGCGAGUGAUAACUCACAUGUAAUUAACUUGCAGAUGCAUCUACCAAAAUUAUAUCAAAAUAUUCACUUCUUGGAUAAAUGAGCCCAUAUUUCUUUCAGAAAUGUAAAAGAUUCAAUAUCAACUUUUGCUAGUGAGGUUUAAUAAAAAAAAUUAGACCAAGCAACACUUGAUAAAUGAAGAAUCUCCAGGUUCUUUAAUAAAUAUUCAUGUAAAUUCUUAUCUUGUUGCAUCAUUAUUGGUCAAGAUGGUCUAACUAAUCAUGCCAACUAAUGAUUAUAUUUGGACUAGUAAACUUCUUGUUUACUAUGCACAUGAUUCAACAAUACUAAUGUAUACUUCUGAUUUACCAUCACAUGUGAUUUAACUAUGCAAACAAAUAUACUAGAAUUGUAUUGAAGAAAACACUAAAUUAAUAAGUCUAGAGUUGGUUAUAAAUGUCAUAUUUGAAACAUCCAAAUAUAGAACAUUAGUUUCAAUAAAAUAAAAUCAAAGCCAAAGCUACAUGCAUUUGUUGCAAAUAGAUUUUAUCAAUUUACAAAAUACACACAAACACAUAUUUAAUUUGUAUAGAUAUAUGUGCAAAAUUAAGCAAAGCAUAGAAGCAUACCAUAAAUGCACAAUAAUUAAAAGUUGGAAUAUAGGAUGAAACUAUUCAUUUGAAUUCCAACGCAAAUCUUAUUAUCAGUCUCAACAUUAUCUUCACUUUCCACUUUUGGUGGUAAGAAAAAUUACUAUGACUACCCAUAUGACGAUUAUUACAGUUCCACCUACCAUGUCCACGAUUAUAUCCUUUGAAUUUGUUAUAUAUUGCUACAUUCACUUUAGGGAAUGGAGUAGAUCUAGUAAGACAGACUUAAUGUUUUUUCUUUAUUUAAUAACUUGUUAUUUUAUUCAAUCACAAUUAAACAACAUUUUUUCACGGUAUUGCUACUGUAGGAGCACAUUUAUAGCACGAAAAGUUGAAAAAGGUUUCUAACAAGUUCUUAUAGUAAUACUCUCCCCAUAUAAUGUUAAUUUGAGAACUUAUCCUAAAUAUUUUAAUGUUAUAUCCAUGUCACACCCUGAAGAAUGGGUUAGAAGAAUCAGGUCUUUUAAUCAGAGGUUGUGUCAGAUAAUAGAAAAUAGGGUCGUAAGUGAGUAACGUGAGUAUGUGAGUUUCAUAAUCAGGUUCUUUCUUUAUUUGUUAGCUCAAAACAAAAUUCAAUUUUGAAGUCUAAUUUGAAAAAAAUGGAUUUCAAUUUAUUUAGAGCCUAAUUAGAAAAAAGAAAAAGCUAGGAGUGACUAAAAGGGCAAAUUGCCCAAUUUUUGUAAAUUGGCUUUCAAAUAGCAACCACUCACGUCUUCCCCUCAUCUUUUUCCAUCAUUCAAAACAACAAAUUAUCUUAAACCAAAAUCCCCUAUUUUCUCCCUAAUUGACUUAAUCUUCGCGAUUUUCUCAUCUCCCACUCUAAAAUCUCUCCCAAAUUUUUAAGAAAACCCCCAAAAAGAUUAUCAAUUUCCUUAUUCGAUUUCCAAAUGAAUAUUUUGACAAUCAACCUUUCGUUCAUUCUUCUUCUUGAUAGAGGUAAAUUUUUGUUUCCUUAUUAAACUUUGAUAUAUUCUAGCUACUCAAAUCAAGUUUGAUUUGUUUAAAGAGAAUUUCAUGUUUUAGUCAAAAUUAGGGUCUUUAAUGGAUAAAUCUGGGUUUUCCAAUUGAAAUGUUGUUUGUAGGUAUUUUUUGACUUUUCUUAAUGAGACUAGAAGGUUUUUAAACUUGAUUUAAUCAAUCGUUAAAAUAUUUGAAGGAUUUAAUGAUUUUUUGUUCAAAGUACUCAUGAAUGUCGAAAAUUUUCAGAAACAUAAAUCUAAAAAUGAUGGAUAGUUUAAAGUUUGAGAUAUGCUCUUAAAUGAAUAACUAGGUGUUUGGAAUCGAUUUUAAGCAAUAGGAACAAGUCUAAAUUAAGAAAUCUGAGUUCCCGCUAAACUAGUCAAAAUUUUUGGUUUAAAGAGGAGUUAGGUAGAAUCUACGUUAAUGUUUGAUUUAUGGUGAGUUUAUGGCUGUUAAUUGUUUUUACAUAGUAUGUGGUUAAUGUUUGUUAAGUUUCAGAAUCAUUGGAGCCCUCUACGAGUAAGGCGAAAGGUAAGGAAAAGCUAGGUUUGAGCUUUUGGCUAAUAAGUGGAAACGUGAUUGGUGAGUGUCUUGAGUCACUAUUGGUAUGCACAAUCCGUAGCAUUAAUCGAGAGCUUAGGAAUUGCCUAAACUCUUAUCCUAUGUUCCGAGUGUAUGCCUUCUUUAUACUUUUGCCUUGAUAUAAAACUUUGCUUAAUAUAUGUCGAGUUAAGGAAUGUGAGGUUCUUAUGACAAGUAAUGUGUAUGAAUAUUUGGAUGCAAUAAAUUGAUUUUAAUGCACACAAAUGUAGUCUGAUAUGUGAUGGCUCAAUUAGCAUUGUUGUGGCACUUAAAGUGCAAAUAAAUGUGAAUUCGGUAAGCAUGCAUUGUGUACAAGUUUGUGGUGUAAAUUGAUGAAUAUGAAUAGAGAUGAUGUGCAUUAAUACAAUAAUUAAAUAUGUGUAAUUGUGGAUAUUUUUGCCUUGUGAUCUCUUGAAACCGUUGGAUAUAGUUGGCAUGCCAUAGAUGGAGAGAUAAGGGAAUGUCGAGCUAAGCUCCAUUCAUUAGGACAUGCUGGUAUGAUGGAGAGUGUUUAGCAACAUGCUACACUUAUGGGACAUGUUAGAGUUUUUGAGUCAUUGGUGGGAUGGAAAUUUAUGUAUCUAAUGUGCGGUGAUAGACUCUAGUUUUACGUUUCAUAAUCUCCAGUUGUCAAAUUAUCAUUAAAUGAUUUAUGUAUGAAAUAUGUCAUAUGUAUGUGCAUGUGAGUACUUAAGCUAAACAUGUGAGAUAAUGUACCAUGAAUAUGAUAUUUUGACUUAAUGAAAUAUGAAUGUGAAUGUGUCGUAGUAUGCUCUUGCUUAACAUAUGACGUUGUGUAUGCUUGUGGUAAUUUUGAACAUUCACUGAGCUUGUUUAAGCUCACACACUUCACAUUAAAAUUUUGCAGAUAAGUAGCACUUUCGGUGUGAAUGGUGUGGCCAAGGAAGUGAUCUUAGCAAGGAAAUAAACUUUUGAAUAGGUGGUUUUAUAAUUUUUGAACACUUUGAAUAAAGGCAUUAUUGAAUACUCAGGACACAAUUAUCGAUACCAUGAGGUUGGGAUGUUUUUAAAAAUUAACAAUAACCCAAUUUUGUAUCGAUACCCAACUACGAGUAUUGCUUGAAAUAUCAAUACUCUUACCAAAGUAUCGAUAAAAUGGUUUAAAAAAAUUUUGACAGAGAGCUAAAAAUGUAUCAAUUUUUACAUCAGUAUCAAUACCUAAUUUACUAUAUAUCAAUACCUACUAUUUUGUAUCGAUACCUACAUUGUUUUCUUUAGGACUUUUAAAAAAAUGGACCCUAUUUACGGAUAAAACUGUUUCUAGUGUCGUAUAAUGUUUAACUAGACAGGACCACCCUUUUUGAUUAUUGAAUGUAGUAGUUGUUGUUCUUAUUUGAAGCUAUCUGUGCAUGUGUAUAAGGGUCCGUUUGUUUACAUGUAAAAGGUUUUACGGAAAAUAUUUUCUGCAUUUUCCUGUGUUUGUUUCACAGAAAACAGCUUCGUCAACAGAAAAUGACUUACAAGUCAACGAAAAAUAAGCCUUUUUCCUUGUAAAAUGGCUUACCUUUUUGAAAAGCGUAAGUCAUUUUCCGGAAAAGAGCUUCUCAAUAGAUAAUUUUACUUUGAUAUAAAAAUUAACUUAAAUCAAGUUUAAUAUUAUUAUAUUGAUAAUAAUUUUUAUUUUUAUUUUUAAAAAUAUUUAAAAUAUUUAAAAUAUUAAUAGAAACUGUUAUAUUUUUUAAUAUUAUUAAACAUACGUAUUUAAUUAUUUAUAUUUAGUCAUAUAAUAAAUUAUUAAUAUAAUUUAUUAUUUUUAAUAAAUUAUUUAAUACUUAAAUUUUAUUUUAAUAGUAAAUUUUAAAAAUAAUAAUUUUAAAUAAUAUUAUUCACUUGAAAAAAUCAAUAUUAAUAUUUUAAUACUAAAUAUUUAUUACAAUUAUAAAUAUAUUAAUAAUAAAUAUUUUGUAGUAUAAAUGUUAAAUAUACUCUUCACAAUUUUGCAAUUUAGUUUCUGUACUUUUAUUUUCAAGAAUUUAGUCCCUCUACUUUCCAAAUUUGAAAAUCAAGUCAAACUACUGACAUUGUUGUUUUUUUUGUCAAUUUUGUUAAAGUCACAUUUUUAAAUAAAAAAAUACUCAGUUGGUAGUCAUGUAACUAAAAAAUAAUCGUUGCAAUGAACCUAAAUUUAACAAAAUAUUUUUAAUAUAUGUAAAAACAAUGUAAAAUAUAAAAUUAUAGAUAUAAAAUAAACUCAAUUAAACAAUGAAAAAAUAAAUAAAAAUCUCAAAUGUAUGUUUGUUUAAUUGAAAACGACUUUUAUGAAAUAUUUUUAAAGAACCUGUCAAACAAAAGAAAAUAUUUUACACAGAUUCAUCCAAACACCAGAAAAUAUUAGCUUUUCUAGAAAAGUAAGUUAUUUUCCAGAAAUCAUUUUCCAGAAGCUAUUUUCAGUGAAACAAACGGAGCCUAAGUUUCAAUAGCGAUUGUAGCAUCCUAUUACUAGGUUUUGACGACCAGGCCAGAUAAGGGGUAUUACGUUUGAUGGUAUCAGAGCCUAGGUUUUCUAAGAGUCAGACCUAAGUUUGUUAGUAUUCGGGACUAGGGUGUAACCUAUGUACCUAGAUUUUCAUAUUACUUAAACUGUUUGACUUGAAUAUCUCUGUUAAAGUUAUUGUGAAAUUGUUUUUUUUGGGGGGUAGGAUUGGGAACACAUUUCCUUUAUUUAAAUGUUUCCUUUCAGGAACAUGCCUUGGAUCAUUUCCCGCCACUCACACUCUUGGUUGAUUGUGUUUGUUAGAGUAGAUACAAUAUGCCUCGUAGACGUGUUAAUGUGAAUGGGAACGCUCAAGAGGAUAGUACAUCCUCUGCACCUCUUGUGAUGCCUCAUAGAGUAAAUGUACCAGAUGAGAGUGUUGGCCUUCUGAUGCAAGCCAUGAUUGGGGUAUUUCAGAGGAUUGUAGAUGCCAACCCUGCUCCUUCCAAUCGGGGACUGCCACUUGAAUAUCUGCGGGCAUUAGGCGAUAAUUUACUCGAUUAAAGGGAGUUGAUCCAACUAUAGCGAAAUACUAGCUUGAAAGUGUGGAGAGGAUCCUUGAUCAUAUGUCCAGUAUUGGCGACGAGAAGUUGGGAUGUACUAUGUCCCUACUCGACAGAGAAACCCACCGUUGGUGGAAUACAUUGAAGAGAGGUACUAUUGCAGACCGUUUGACUUAAGAUUAUUUAUUAGAAGUGUUUAAAAGGAAGUUUACGGGUGAGCAGUACUUGGAAGCCCGUAACCUUGAAUUUAUAGACAUGGUUCAAGGUAGUUUGACUGUGGCUGAGUACGAAUCGAAAUUUGUGUGACUCAGCCAGUACGUUCUUGAGAUGGUACUUACUAAGAGAGACUGAUACUAGUCGUUUUGUUUUGGGCUUAAUCAAGAGAUUACAGUUUAUUCGGUAGCUCAAAAUAUUGAGUUGUUCGAUGAGAUGGUUGAGAAAUCCAAAGCUAUUGAGGAAACUUUGGCUGAGCCAUCGUGCUCAGUGGUGACUGAAUCAGGGAAAAGAACCUUUAAUAGUUCUAAAAGAUCUAGACGACCGUCUAAGAGAGGCCAUGAUAUUUAGGGUUUUGAUAGGAGUGCAUGACACGAGUUUAUACCAAGUCAAUCUAAGCAGCAGAGCAGUAUGGUGGUUAGCAUUGGUGGGUUGUCAAGAGAAUCUGGAUGGCCGUAUUGUGGACAUUAUGAGCGUAGACAUUCUGAAGAGUGCCAAAAAUUGACAAGAGGAUGUCUCAAGUGUGGCUCUAAAGAACACUUGGUGAGGGAUUGUCCAAAUAGAGUUGAGGUUUCGUAGACUCAGAGUUUUGCACCUGUACCUGUGCAUGCUCAAGGUCAUGGCCGAGGUAGAGGUGGUAAUGUGGGACCGGUUGGGCAGUGGGAUGCUGCUCAUAUCGUUACUACUCAGGUGGAGACCGAAGGACCAGCUCGCAUGAAUGCUAUUAGGAAGUCACAAGAUUAGGAUUCUAUCAAUGAGAUUGCGGGUAUUUUUUCCUUGUAAUCAAUCCAUUUAUUCUCAUUGGUAGAUUUAGGAUCUAUACCUUUGUAAAUUUUGUGCAAUUUAACUAAUAAGCAAAGAAUCCAGAUAAAGGCUAUUAAAUUAGGAACUAUGAUUACGAGUUCUUCAAAUGAGAGAUCAUAGAGAAUAAAGGAAACUAAUAGUGAAGUCACCGAAAGACAGUCCAUGGUAGUGAAUAGGAUCUUCAUAAAAAACCCUAAAAAAGUUAAAAAGGAAUCUGAGUUGUGCAGCGAAAGCGUGGUGGUUGUUUUAAAGGAAAACAUAACAGGUUUUGUGAUUAAGUGAAUGAUGUGUCAUCAGGAAAAUUUCGAGGACAAAAUUCUUUUUAGAGGGAAAGAGUUGUCACACUUCGAAGAACGAGUUAGAAGAAUCGAGUUUUUUAGCUGGAGGUUGUGUCAGAUAAAAGAAAAUAAGGUCGUAAGUGAGUAAUUUAAGUAUGUGAGUUUCAUAAUCAGGUUCUUAAUUUAUUUGUUGGCUAAAAAAAUUUCAAUUUUGAGGUCUAAUUAGAAAAAAGGAAGAGCUAGGUGUAAUAGCCCGUUUUCAGUGAAAUCGGAACAGUGGUUUAGGGGCCACAAAUUCGAGGUCAAAAUAAAAUUUAUUUUAAUAUUAUUUUAUGGUCUACAAUAUGAUAGAAAUAUCAUACCAAAAUUUCAUUAAGAAAUUUUAUCGUUUACAUGUCUAAUUUGAUAAAGAGGGUCAAAUUGCAUAAAGUGCAAAAGUUGAAUUCUAGUAGCUAAAGGUAUCAAAUAGCUAUGGAAUUUAAAAUUUGAAGUCCUUAUAUGACAAAUAGACCAUUUAGAAGAGUUAGUAGAUAAGGAUGAUUAUUCAUCAUUAGAAAUUGAAUAAAGUAUUAGGGUUAAUUUUGGAAAGAUGAUAAAAUAAUGAUGGUAAAUGAAAUAAUUAAUUAAAUUAAUAUCAUUUUCAUCAUCUUUCCUAAAAUAAAACAUGGAAACCCUAGCCAUGAGAGUUGAGCUCAAGCAAGCUUAUUUUACUUAAUUACGUAAGUAUUUUGGUCCCGUUUUUAAUGAUUUUUAUAUUUUCGAAAUCGUAAUAGCUUAAUCUAGCUAUCUUGGGUAUUAAUUUGUAAAACUAUUAAAGUGUUAGGGUUUUCCCAUGGAUGAGUAUAGUUUAAUUAUGAAAUUUUAUGGUAGAAAAUGAAAGGUUGUUGAUAGCUAAAUAACUUCUGUAAAGUGAAUUUUGAUAAAAUUAUGAUUUAGAGACUAAAUUGAAAAGAUUAUAAAUUCAUGGAAAAAUUCUAAAUUUUAUGAAAUUCAUGGGCUACUGUUGUUAUAUAUGAAAAUCAACUAGGCUUGAAAUAAGGAUUAAAUUGUAUGAAUUUCAUUUUUUGAGCCUAGGGACAAAAUCGUAAUUCAAUAAAAGUCCUUGAAUGUGGAACUUGCUUGAAGAUCUUGUUCAUCCAUGAUUAAGGGUUAUUAUAUGUGAUUACUUGGCUAACAUGAUGAGGAUAUGUGUUAGGGCUUUUGGCCAAUUUGGUUUGAAUAUGCCUUGAAUGCUUACCUUAAUUGUGAUUAAAUGGUAAGUUAAAUUUCAUGUUAUACGAACUUACUAAGUAUUAAAUGUUUACUCUGUUUUAUUUUCCCUGUUUUAUAGUAAUUCGGAAGCUCAUUUUGGUUGGAAGCUGGUCAGAGCAACUUCACACUAUCCAUCGGCCCUUUUCGGUAUAUUUAGUAAAUCAAUUUUGGUUAUAAUGACACGUAUAGGUUAACUUGGCCAAUGAUGGCAUGCAAAUGUUUUGUUGUGAUUAGCCAUUUGAAUGGCUUAUGUUUGAUACAUUUUGAUAUGUAUAUAUAUGGCCUUAACAUGUUUGAUGUGUGUGUGAUAUGGUUGAAUGAUGGAAAUCAUAUAGGCAUAUUGAUGAUUUUUUUUGAGAUAGUAUAUUUGGUACAAAUAUGCAUAUAUGUGUAUUUGGUUAAUUUGGUAAGUAUGGAUACUUAGAUAUAUGUGGUGAUAUGUUAUGUAGAAGACUUGGUUUUGGCUUGAUUUGAAUGCCUUGUUAUGUCUUGUUAUUGUGUAAAAAUGUAAGUUAGGUUGAUGACAAUUGGGGUAAAAAAUAUGGCUUGGAAAAUGGUAUAUUUUUGUCUACACGGGUAGAGACAUGGGCUUGUGUCCCCUGCAUCUUUAAAAUUGCAAAACAGAAUUCUCACACUGCCUAGCACACAGGCGUGUGUCUUGGCCGUGUGACCCAAGUCAGAGAUCUCCUAAGUUUGGACUUGGGCUGGGACACAGUCGUGUGUCCUUAUUUCGAAUGCCCACACGGCCUGAGACACGGGCGUGUCUCUUGACCGUGUGAGUCACAGGACCUGACCACACGAGCAUGUGUCCCCUACACCUUUGAAAAAUUGUAAUAUUUUCUGAAAAAUUCUCUGAGUACCAAGUUUAGUCCCGACAUGUUUCUAAUGUCUAUUUUGGGCCUCGAGGGCUCACAUAAGGGACAAUAUGAUCAAUUUUGAUUGAUUUCUAAUAUGAAUGCUAAAUGAUAUGAAAUGUCUGUUAUAUAAUCUGUAAACUUUGGUAACACUCCGUAGCCUUGUUUUGGCAAAGGAUAUGGGUUAGGGGUGUUACACUAGGAGUGACCAUAGAGGCAAAUUGCCCAAUUUUUGUAAAUUGGCUUUCAAAUUGCAGCCACUCACAUCUCCUUAUCUUUUGCGACAUUCAAAAUAAAAUUUCUCUUAAACCCAAAUCCCUAAUUUUCUCUCAAAUUGGCUUAACCUUUGUGAUUUUUUCAUCUCCAAAACUCUGAAAUCUCUCUGAAUUUUUAACAAAACCCCCCAAAAAUAUUAUCAAUUUUCUCAUUCGAUUUCCAAACGAAUUUUCUGGAAAUCAACCUUUCAUUCAUUCAUUCUUCUUCUUGAUUAAAUUAAAUUUUUGUUUCCUUACUAAGUUUUGAUAUAUUCUAGCUACUCAAAUCAAUUUUUGAUCCGUGCCAAGAGAAUUUCAUGUUUUAGUCAAAAUUGGGAUCUUUAAUGGCGAAAUUCAGGUUUUCCAAUUAAAUUGUUGUUUCUAGGUGUUUUUUGACUUGUUUUGAUGAGAUUAGAAGGUUUUUAAACUUACUUUAAUCAAUCAUUAAGAGAUUUGAAGGAUUUAAUGAUUUUUCGUUCAAAGUAGUCAUGAACGUUGAAAUUUUUCAGAAACAUAAAUCUAAAAAUUUUGGGUGUUUUAAAGGUUGAGAUCUACUCUUAAAUGAAUAACUAGGUGUUUGGAAUCGAUUUUAAGUAAUAGGAACAGGUCUAGAUUAAGAAAUUUGAGUUUUGGCUAAACUAGUUAAAAGUUUCAAAAUCGUUGAAGCCCUCUACGAGCAAGGCAAAAGGUAAAGAAAACCUAGUUUGAGCUUUCGACUAAUAAGCGAAAGCGUGAUUGGUGAGUGUCCAAAGUCACUGCUAGUAUGCACGAUUCGUAGAGUUAAUUGGGAACUUAGGAAUAGCCUAAAAUCCUAUCCUAGUUCUGAGUGUAAGCCUUCUUUAUACUUUUUCCUUAAUGUAAAACUUUACUUAAUGUAUGUCGAGUUGAGGAACGUGAGGUUCUUAUGAUAGGUAAUGUGGGUGAAUAUUUGGAUGCGAUAAAUUGAUUUUAGUACACACAAAUGUGGUCUGAUAUGUGAUGGCUCAAGGAGCAUUGUUGUGACACUUAAAACGCAAAUAAAUGUGAAUUCGAUAAGUAUGCAUUGUGUACAAGUUUAUGAUGUAAAUUGAUGAAUAUGAAUAGAGACAAUGUGCACUAAAGUAGUAAUUAAAUAUGUGUAAUUGUGGAUAUUUUGGCCUUGUGAUCUCUUAAAAUCAUUUGAUAUAGUUGGCAUGUGAUAGGAUUGUGAGCACUCACCUUUGUAUUUUGUGAUUUGGGCAUUGAAGCCCUAGGACAAGUUGGAGAGAUAAGGGAAUGUCGAGCUAAGUUCAAUUCAUUUGGACAUGUUGGUGUGUUAGGGAGUGUUUGGCAUUAUGCUACACUUAUGGGACAUGUUAGACUCUUUGAGUUAUUGGUGUGAUGGAGAUCCGUGUAUCCAAUGUAUGGUGAUAGUGUCCACUUUUACAUUUCAUAAUCUCAAGUUGUUAAAUUAUCAUUAAAUGAUUUAUGUAUGAAAUAUGGCGUAUGUGUGUGCAUGUGAGUACUUAAGCUAAACAUGUGGGUUUGUUUGGAUAGCAGAAAAUAAUUGAAUGAAAAUGUAAUUAUUAGGAUAAUAAUUACUCUCUUUUGUAAUUAUAAGAAAAUUGUAAUUUCCUAGAUGUAUUUAGUUAACAGAGAGUAAUUAUAUCGUAAUUUCCUAUGUCAUGUUUGGUAGUACAAAUUGUAAUUACACAGUUACAUAAAUUCCAUUUAAAAAAAUAUUAAUUACUAUAAAAAUUUAUUAGUAUGAUAAAAAUAAUUUAUAAAUAAGUAACAAAAAUUAAAAUAAAAUAAUCAUAUGCAUUGUGUUAGUCUAAAAAUGUAAUUGAUAAUACGAUUACUAAAAAAAUAACAAGAAAAAUAAACCAUAUACAAUUUUUUUAAUUGUUCUAGUUCAUAUUUAUUGGGUUAUUCCCUCUUUAGUAUUUAAAAUAUGCACCGUAUUAUCAUAUGUUGGUCUUUCCUCUUUAACUGAGUUAAUCAUCAUUUGAAUUUGUAUCUUUAAGAUUAUCAAGAUGUUCUUCUUCCAUGUACUUUUUGAAAUAUAAAUUAUCUCAAUUCCACCUAUGAUUAAAAUUGUGAAAUAUGCAACAUGCUAAUACGAUCCAACUUUUUUUUAUAUGUUAUACAAAGGUGAUGUUGUUAAUAUGAUAAAUAUUUUUUCAGAACAACAAAUACCUUCUCAACCGCAUUUUGAAGCCUUAAAUGUUUCAAAUCAAAGUUUUAUUGUGCUUGUGUUUAACAUUAUUUUCUCAAAUGGUAUCAUACACCACAAUAUAUUGUAAGAAACUUUUUUAUUUGCAUAAUUAACACCGACCUUAUAAUAUUUAGACUCACAAUUAGAGGUGAUCAUGGUCCGGGACUCAGCUCGAGCCCCUCUACAGCCUCUACCUCAGCCUUUAGUACCCGUCUGCGGAUACCUCAUGCACUCAUCGUAGAAUUCGUAGCUUAUCUGUGUUAACAGUUUUAUGAAUCAAUUACAGUUUUGAUAUCUAUUAGUAGAUAUUUUAUGCAAAAUAGUAUCAGAAGUUUAGAGUUUGUUAACACGAAUCGCAGACUUGCUAUAGUUUUCAGUUUCGCUACCGUUUUUAGUAUACUCUAUCUACAGUGUUCUCAGUAUAGUGUACUACCUAUAGUAGUUUCAGAACAUGCUACUCAUAUUUUCAAAAACUUACCAAAGUUUUUAGAACAUUUACAAAAUCAGCGCCGAAGACUCAGUGUACCACAUACUCAGUCAAAAAUAUUUCAAACCAUUUAAAAAUCAUCUCUUUAAAACCAAGUUUUAAAACCCAAACCCACAGCUAAGUAUUGCAACCUGGCUCUGAUACCACUAAAUGCAACACCCUAAACCCGGCCUAGAUGUUAUGGUCGAAUCUGGCGAUGUCACAUGGAAAGAGAUUCAAAGAUAAUAUUGUCGAAUUUAAAAACCGUUACAGUAAGUUAGCUUUUAUUUAAUUCGAAAAAAAACUAGUUGAUUUACUUUAAAACUUGUCUCUUAUUGAAAGCUUUUUUAACAAAUUAAUUUAGGGAAAAUCGUUUCUAUUUACGAAGAACCUUAGUUUUUUAGGAAAAAAAUCGUGUUUUGUGGAGUUGCAGUUUUUAAAAAAAUCCAUAAAAAACAGUAUAAAGUCCCAAAUUUAAAGCCAUCCAGUUCAUAGUCUAGAAAAUACAUCAAAAACCUCAAAUAAGUAAUAAAUUCUAGACAUUAUGGAAAAUAGUCUAAAAUUUACGUGUGGCCACCGUUGAGUCCUCCGCUGCACCGACCCGUCAAGUUUGGGGAUUACCUGUAUAGAUUAAAAAAAGAAAGGGUAAGUUUUCGCAAACUCAAUGUGUAAUCCCCACAGAAAACAUGCAUACAAAUAAUCAAUAUAAUUCAGUUAGAUACAGUUCGAGGCCUGUGUCCAUCACAGAAUCAGUUUGGGCCUUAACCCAUUCAGAUACAGUCUUAGAAAUGCAUUAGGACCUUGGCCCAUAUCAGAUACAAAAUGCAGAUACAGUAAAUCAGAAUCCUACCCACCAGCCUCUACACACCAUCUCCGUCCAACCCUACACACCAUGUGGGGAUUAAAUCAACCCACUCAUCCCUACACACCAUGCUGUACCGAAAUGCGGCACAUAAUCAUAAGGUUGCAGCUGAGCUGCCAGAUAACAGACUUAAUAGCCUUUCAGACACUUUCUUCAAAUAUCAUCAACCUACCCCGAUGCAAUGCAGCAUACAAAAUAUGUCAUGCCAUUUGCAAUUAAUAGUACAUACAUUCAGAUAUCAUAAGUCAUGCUCGGUAUAGAAAUCACACAGAUCACACAUAUAGGGGUCUAAGUAAAGCUUACCGACCCUUCAGUAGGUCCAUAGUUGACUUGGGCGACCCGUGCAACCUUACAGAACUUUUUAGAAAAAUAGGCUCACACGCCCAUGUGGCCCACUCGGCCCAAAUUGGCCUUGGCCACAUGAUCCAUUUUUAAUGUAACUCGUGCUAGUUAAUUAUUCAUAUAUGUUUUCACUAUUUACUUAUAUGUUCCUUCAAAGUUGUCUACUUGAGUCACUGUUACUAAAUUAUUUAUAUAUUGAGCUACAGAAUUCCGAAUUAAAAUCUACUUAAUGGUUUUGAAACUAGACUCAAAUACCUUUCUACCAUAAAAUUUUCAAAAUUUUUUGUUCUGCCAAUAAGUACAGUAAAAUCUUCAAACUUACCCAUGUUCUGCUGUCUGACAGCUUCUUCCUUUCUUUGCUAAAAAUUAAUUAUCUCUUAGUAAAAAAUUUGGAUGAUGUUUCAAUUUGUUUCUAUUGAAAAUAGUCUCAACAAUAAUUUAAAUAUGUAAAUUUUAACCCCCAAUUAUUUUUCUCCAAUUUUCACGAUUUUCCAAAGUCAGAGCAGGGGAACCCCAAUUCAUUCUGACCUUGUCUCACAAAGUUUAUUAUGCCUUUCUCAUGAAUUCAUUCUGAUGUAAUUUACCCAACAAUCAAAUAAAAGCCUACUGAACAAGAGUAAGGCCUAAUUCAUUCAAAAUACUAAAAUUUUCUCAAGCGAAGGCUCGAACUUGGGACCUCCCAGACACUUUCAGAACACAUAACCACUAAAGUUGACAGAUAUUUGUGUCAUAUUUUCAUAACAACGAAAUUAGAAAUUUUUGGGCGUUAUAAAAGUUGAGCAGAUUGAUGAAAAACAAUCUCAUAAUCAAGGGUACCACAUAAAUACCGCAAGAUUCAUUUUAAUGUAACCAGGUGGAUAGCAGUAGGCGCAUGCAUGAACUAACAUAUGCGAUUUAACGCGUAGGCAAUAUCAGGUCGAGUAAAGACCACAUACUGUAAAGCACCUACAAGACUUCUGUAUUUAGUAGGGUCAUGAAGAUGAUCCCCAUCAUCCUUAGAUAGAGGAGACGAAGUAAUCAUAGGAUUAUGAACAUUCUUUGCAUGAGUCAUGGAACUCCUAUCUAGCAGAUCGUGAAUGUGCUUUCAUUAGCAUAGAUGAAGACACCCUUCGGCGGAACGAGUAACCUUAAUCCCUAAAAAAUAAAGGAGAUCACCCAUAUGUUUAAGUGAGAACUCCUUAUUCAACUACUGAACAAAGAUAUUUAUACAGGUAGACAUGCUUUCAGUAAUGAUAAUAUCAUCCACAUACACAAGAACAUAAAUAGUGGAGUUAGGCGUGACUUUAAUAAACAAAGAUGUAUCAGACUUUGAUAGAAGAAAACCAACAAAAAUGAGAAAGCACUUCAAUUUAUCAAACCAAGCACGCGGAGCCUGACGUAGUCCAUACAAAGCCUUCUUCAGACGACAGACCAAAUGUUUACCAUUAGAACCAUAUUGAACAUACCCUAGAGGUUGCUGCAUAAACACUUCAUUAGUAAGAUCACCAUUUAAAAAGGCAUUAUUCACAUCCACCUGACGAAGUUGCCAACCCUUGGAAACAACAAUAGAUAGUAUGAUUCGAAUAGUAGCAGGUUUUAUUACCGAACUAAAUGUUUCCUUGAAAUCGCACCCAGGUACCUGAGAACAUCCUUUAAUUACUAACUAAGCCUUACGACACGCAAUCGUGCCAUCAAGAUUUUAUUUACUUUGAAAAGUCAUUUACAUCCGAUCACUUUACAAUUAUUUAGUAACGGAACAAGUUUCAGGUGGAGUUAUGAAUGAGGGCAUCAUACUCAGACCGAGCAGCGGCAAGCCAUUUGGUGGUAAAAAUGGCUUUCUCAAUCGUGUGAGGCUCAACAGAUUCAACAGACAGAGCCUUGGGCUUAAAAACGCCAGCCUUAGACCAAGUAACCAUCGGAUAAGUAUUUGUUAGGUGCAAAAGAGCUGACGAAAUAGUAGGAGAAACUGGAAUAUUAGAAGCAAUCGUGGUUGGAUUGGGUACACCGUCAUUGUCAGGUAAAGAGGAGAGAGGACAGAGCUCAUGUGCAGAUCCCAAAACAACCUGAAGAACUUUAGAGUUAGAGAGAGAGGGACAUAAACCAAGAGGUGAGGUCAACGCAAGAGGUUGAGCGGAUGAGGACUCCUUGGGUCGAGAGCAGACAGGUUGAACAAGAGGAACAUAUGUUGGUGAGAGAGAUUGACCUAAUGAAGAUCUGGAACCUCCCGUAACAGACAUAGGAAACAGAAAAUGGUGUUCAUCAAACACAACAUGAUGAGAAAUAAUGACCUUACCAUCCGGUGUGAGACAUUGAUACCCUUUAAGUUAGGAACUAUAUCCUAUAAACGUAUAAGGUUAAGAACAAAAAUCUAACUUGUGACGCAGAAAGGGACGCAGAUACGGAAAACAACAACACCUAAACAUUCGUAAAUGAUCAUAUGUGGGAUCUUGUCUAUGCAGAACCUUGUACAGGGAUUGUCCGUUCAAAACCGAGGUAGAAAGACGAUUGAUGAGAUAAUAGCAUAAAAAAUGCAUUGCCCUAAUAAUCUAUAGGAAGAUUUGUUCGGGCCAAAAAUGUAAUACCCAUGUCAACAAUAUGCUGGUGAUUGCGUUCAGCCACCUCAUUCUGUUCGGGCGUAUGAAGAUAGGACAGUCUAUGAAUUAUCCUUGAGUCACCAACACUGACGUGAAAGUGCAAAACUCUCCUCCCCAAUCACUCUGAAAUUGUUUGAUUUUUUCCCAAAUUGAGUCUUGAUUAAUUGUUGAAACUAAACAAAACAAUCCACCGCCUAAGACUUUUGACGAAUAAGAUAAAUCCAAGUAAAGUGAGUGCACAUGUUAAUAAACGAGACAUAAUACCGAUUACGUCCAUAGGCAACUGAUGUAGGUCCCCAUAGUCGAAGACCACCAAAGUAAAAGGAUCAGUAUAUUCAGUAGUAGGGGUUGGAAAAGACAGUUUAUGAGACUUCCCUUUUUGGCAUACAGUAUAAACAUUAUCAAGACAAACUUUAUUGGAAGCAAUAUUACAUUUAUCUAAAACAGAUUUAACAAUAGAAGCAGAGGGAUGACCAAGACACUUGUGCCAUAAAGAAAAAUUAUCACAGCUAGCAGUCUGAGUCUGAAGUCCAAUAUUGGCAAUAAAAGGAGCCACAAUAAACGGAACAGACGCAAUCGACGGAGAAAAAUAUUAGAGCCCAUCACUAAUGUGGCCCCUCAAUAAAAUUUCCUGAGUCUUGAUGCCCUUAACAACACAAUAAGUUAGAUGAAAUUCAAAAAACACGUUAUUGCUAGUGGCAAACUGAUAUACAGACAGUAGAUUCUUCUGUAUAGUCGGUACACAUAAAACAUUAGAUAAGCGAAGUAAUUUAUUCUAUGAAGAAAACACUGAAUUUCCAACAGAUGAGAUCCUGGUGGGAGUCUCGUCACCCAUUAAUAGAGAGGAUGUACCUGAGUAAGGUGUAGAGUCAUUCAACAUAAAGGCAUCACGACAUACAUGGUGUGUAGCCCUUGAUUUUGGAUACCAGGAUGCAGUUCUGAUGAGUAUAGAGAUAUAGAAACCAGUAUCAUCAAGGUUGGACCUAAAUUGAGUGGCGUGAAUAUUAGGAUCAAUAGAAUUAGAUACAUCGGACGCAUGCAAAUCGGGUAGACGAGUGAGCCCAAUGCACGGAUCAGACUCAGUGCAAACAUGAGCCCUCAGUUUGGUCCGCCAAGGAACAGACGGCCCAGACGCAUGAUAAUCACCGUCACCGAAAUGCCCAAUCUCGCGUCCAUGUCCAAGAGAAUUAGAAAACUCUACACAAUUGGAUGUUGGCCCAUUUGGAAAAUUAGUAGCCUGCGGCCCAAGUAAAGUAAACGUGCCCCCAAGUUCCUAGUUUGAGCUAGAUGGCCUGGCACGCACGGGCUGACCAGGAUAAUAGCCAUAGUCAUACGGCCUAGUAGCAGCAGGCCCGAACCCAGCAGCAGCAGCAAAACUGCCAAAUUAUGAGUCCUGCCUAGGCACUAAAGGAGAAGACUCAUGCCUAGGCCCAAAUUGCAACAUUGCCCCAGCGGUAUUAUGCCCAAAUCCAUCAUCAAAGACUGCAAAGGGGUUAGAAACCCUAGUGGACAGCCUAGGCAUGUGAGGUGUAGCACAAAAUUUUUGCCAGAGAAUAAACCAUACGGCACUGUCGUCGAAGGGCCAUCAAACCCACCAGGAGUUUGCGACGGAAACAAAAACCCAGCAGUCGAGACCUGACUCAAACGACUGACCGAGAGUUAAAGCCUGAGCCACCGAUGGUUGUCCAUCAUAAUCGCGAUUAUAAUGAUAACAACAUCACUAGGCUAAAUGCCCAAAUCGGCCGUAAAUAUGACAUUGGAUGCAGGAACGAAAUCCUUUGCCACGACCGCCAGACAGAGGAGGCCACCAUGAACAGAAUCCACCAUCGGUGGUAACGGAACAGACUCCACAAGAUUUGCAUGAAUCAACAGUUCUUGAACUGCACGCAUCUGUCACGUCUCAUAUUCUAAUAACAAGUCAACAAGACGUUGAAAUGGAAGAGUUUCAAACGAGAACGAUGCUAAGGUAAGCACAGCAUCAAACUCCAGAGGUAGACCUGUAAGGACAAUCUUAACCUUUUCUGCCUCUGAGAUCCGAAAGCCAGAAGCCUCGAUCAAGGCACAGGUAUUCUGAAUUUUUGCUACAUAUUUUUUGAUUAAGAGGUUAUCUUUCUUAAGUGAGUAUAGAUCGUGACAAAUGCGAGAUAAUUUUGCACCUGUGACUGCUGCAAAGAGACGAGUGGAAGUAUUCCAAACAUCACACGCCGUUCAAGCAUCUGUAAAUGAGGAUAAUAGUGAAUGAUUAAUAGUGGAGAGUAACCAAGAGGCAAGUAACCUAUAAUGUUGAACGAACGCCGAGGCAUCCGGAUUUGGAACAAGAGAUCCCUCUGGUGACUGUACAAAACGCGGUGGAGCAGGUAACGUGCCCUCCAAAAAACCAGUCAGUUCGUAAACUUCAAUGAUCAGGUGAAUAUGUUGCUGCCAUUGAACGAAAUUUCCAUCAUCCAAUUUAACAGUGUCAUGGCAAGGGAAGGAUUGAACGAUCCGAACACCAGUGGACGCCGAACAGCCAUGCUCGACAGAGGCAGAGUCAGUAGAAGUAGUGGUAGUCAUGGGAGCAAACGAAGAUCAGGUCUCCAGCACCAAGGCGACUGAUACCAUGUUAAUAUCUACAGUAAGCUAAGUAAAAGCUAUAUCGUGUAUUGAAAAAGGUAUUCUGUAUUAUUUAUGUAUUAUCUUCAUUGAAUUGUACAACACUAGUAUUUAUAGAAUAUGUGAGCUAGUUGUUGCUAGUAACUGUUGUUAACAACAUAACAGUUUUGAAUAACAGAUUAACAACUUACAAUAACAGAGUCGUUACCAUUAUACUCUAACAAAGUUGGAGGGGCAAAAAAAUCAUUAUGCCAAUAAGUAUAUUAUUUUUAUACUUCUUGGCCAUAACUUUUCACAAAUAAAUAUAUUAUAACACUUUUAUAACAAUUUUUUUUCAUAAUUUUAGACUUUUUUAGGAUUUAAAUAAUUUUUUUUGUUAUAACUUUAAAAAUACCCAUUAUUUUUAUAAUAUAAGAAAAUUUUGGUAAUAAUCAUCCCAAACUCUCAUACAUGUUCAUGUUUUUAUAACUUGUAUAAAAAUAAUUUUUAAAAAUUAGAUUGUGAUGUGAUUAUUUGCGUAAUUAUUUCCAUUCUCACUCUCUCCUUAAAAAUCAAAAAGUGUAAUCGUGAUGCUUCAAUUACAUCCAAUUUAGUAAAAUUCAUUUUAACUAUUGCUAGUAUUCUUUUUAAAGAAAUAAUGUAAUUUUAAUUGUAUAUAGAAUAUUUACCAUCACAGUUAUAAUUUAUAAUGCAUAUAGAAUAUUUUAUAUUAUGCUCUUAACUUCUCAAAAAAUGUAAUUAAAUAAAUUAAUCUUCCCAUAUAACAAAUUGCUAUUAUCGUUAAUAUACCAAGACAAUUUUUAGAUUAAAAAUGAAUUGGGAAGAAUUAAUGGCAAGUCAAUCUUGGAAUAUCAUUACAAACCAUUUUUUUAUGUAUUUUAUUAUUUUUAAAUAUAAAUAAUAUAUUUAUAAGUUACUUUGUAGUAAGUUGUAAUGGCAAUUUAUAUAUGUUUAAUAUUUACUUUUUAUUUUAAUAUCUAUUAAAAUUAUGAUAAAAAUUUUAAAAAUUGAUUAUUGAGCUAACUUUUUACAAUCAUUUGUACAAAAAUUUAUUUUACAAACGCCGUUGAACUUGUUGAUCUUAAAAACAAAUGACUGAUGAAACUAAAAAGAAUUAUUUGAAAUAGGAUUUGUAUGAUUUAUAUAAUAAAAUAUAAUUAUAUAAUAUCAUUUAUAUAUGAAAUUUGCGUCCUUAUAUUUAGAAAAUAAAUCCUAUAUUUUAUUUCAUAUUUGAGAAUCUAAUUUAAUUUCCCCUCAAUAUUAUUCUUAAAAAUAUUAAAAAUAGAAAUAAUUUAAUAAAUUUUAAUUUAUAUAAUAUUAUAAUCCAAUGUAUCACAUUAAGCAUAGUUUUUUUUAAAUGAAAUAUGUUUAUGUUAUAGUUAAAGAUAUUAUAUUAGGGAGAAUGAUAUUAUUGUUUUAUUAGUUAUAUAUUGAUAAAUUUUUUAAUUUAAAUUGAUAUUAUAUACAAAAAUUUUAUACACAAUGAGCAAUAUGUUCUUUGUUGUGGUGAAUUAUAAUGUUUAAAUUCGUGAUAUAAAUAUCAAUGUAAUAUUUGAGUCUGAUUAAUAUGAUGUUCAUAAAAGAUAUCAUAUUAGUGAAGAUGAAGUGUAAAAUCAAUUGAAAAUCGAAGCUUCGAUUAAAUUGUAUAGAUAUAAAUUUAUUAUAUAUGACAAUCCAAUAAUAUAUUCUGCGAUUCAUAUAAUGUAUGAUGAUAAUGUAUAGAUAAUGAUUGUGGAAGGGUUGAGCUCGACAGCAAUGAAGAAGAAUAUGGAUCCGCGAUAUUCUAAAACCGAAAAAUCUAUAUUGUGAUGCUGUGCAAAAUAAUAGGGGUGAGCAAAAUUCGAUUUGAUUCGAAAAAAAAUCGAAUUUUGAGUUAAUUAAAUCGAGUUAUUCAAAUUAUUCAAGUCAACUCAAAUAAGUAAUUCGAGUUUCGAGUUCGAAUCGAGUCGAAUUUUACAAUUCAAAUAACUCAAAUAAUUCGAAUAACAUAUUGGUAUAAAUACCCUUUUGGUCUUUGUCAAUUUUAAAAUGAGCAAAUUGACCUCUCUCUCAAUAAAAAUUACAAAAUAAUUUUAAAAUUUCAAAAUAUUUAUAAAAAUUCCAAAUUUAUAUUUCUUAAAAAUUAUAAAAAAUUCUAAAAGUUCUAAAAAGUAUAUAAAGAAAGUUAAAAAAAAUUAAAAAUUUUCUAGAAUAAUAAUUUUGGCACAUAAAUAAGUUAAUUAAUGAUUCAAGUUUAUCGCACUAAAGUAAUUUUUUUUAUUUUGCUUUGAAAUUUUUUUCAAAUAUAUAUGGUUUCAAAUUUAUGUGCUAUAAUAUGAAAUUAGUUAUAGUAUAACAAGAUUUUAAUUUAAUAUGUUUAAUUUUUUAAUUUAACUCAAAUAAUUUUAUUCGAAUUGACUCGAAUUUCAUUUUACUCAAUUUAAUUUGAAAAAAUUUAAAUCGAGUUAAAAUGAUAAAAUAAGACUAAUUAACUUAAUUAACUUAAAAAAUUUUCAUUCGAUUCGAUCGAAUACUCACUCUUACAUAAUAAUGUACCAAGAGAGGCCAAAGUGUGGAGGUGCAAUAAUUACACAACUCAACUAUUUUGCAAAACUGUUUUUUAAAACUCUAAUAUAUAGAUGAUAAAAAAAAAAAGCCCUAGCCACUUGACAAUUUUUAACGAAAAGAGAAAAGGUUAGGGUAAGUAUAAUACACGUCACGUUAUUCCAGACAAGUUUUGCUUGCAGACACAGUUUCUUGCCUGUGAGUCGGUGACCCAUCUCAAAAUAUCACCCGUAACAUCUUUACCCAAUCACGCGGCCGCCUCCUAUUGGUUUGUCUCUUUGCGCAGCAAUACCCCACCCUCCCUACGUCCAGCUGUCUCACUACUUCAUAACAAUUGUAUCAUUCAAUUAGUUAUUGUAGGUUUAAUUUUUUCCAACCCCUUUACUCUUUCAGCUUUUAAAUUUUAAUCUAUCACCUUUUAAUUCCCUAUCUCUCCUGCUUGAUUUAAAAAUUAAAAUUUAAUUAAUAACAUUUCCAUUCAAUUUAAAUAUAUUAUUAUUUUUAGAUCAAGUCUUCGAAUAUUAAAAUGAUAUAUAUUCAAAUUUAACCAAGCUUUUGUGAAUUGGACUUUUAACUUUUAAAUAAAAAUGAAGAGAAACUAAAAUUUUAAAAUCAAAAGUAGAAAGCCUAAAUUUCAAAACCCCAACGAUAGAAUUAAACAUUUAUUAUAAUAUUAAUUACUAAGGUACACUAUACCUAAGUCACUAAAUUAUUAGUAAAUUUAUAUUUUGGUCACUUAACUUUAAAAAAUUACAACAUGGUCACUGAACUAUUUGAAAGUAUUUAUUUAAGUCAUUGGGUUAUUAAGUAUUUUUUUUAAAGUUCGGCUAGCGAGCUCCAAGCAAUGAUUCAACGGUUAGUACAAUGGAUUAGUACCUAUCAAAUAGUAGAACAUACCUCAUAUCCAAGUCAAUCUAAUAGUCAAUGUAAGAGAUCGGAGAAGAAAACUGUUUGAAUUUUGAUUCGUAAAUUCAUAACAUUCAAAGUUAUUCUAUGAAAAUAAUUAAAUUGUUGAAGAGAAGGAGAAUAAGAUCUUUUGAUUGGUGUAGACCGUGUGAAUAAAGAAAGCCAUAUAACAGAGAUUUAAUAUCUCAAUGAAUUAAAUAAAAACUUCCGAAUGAUUUAGUGACUAUUUUGUAACUUUUUAAAGUUAAAUGACUGAAAUGUAAAUUUAUUAAUAGUUCAGUGACCUUGGCUGUAGUUUACCCUAAUCAGGUAAUGUAACAGCAAAUUACAUGGUCAUGAAUGUGGGCCCCAAUCCAGACUGUCGAGUCUUGAUCGCCACAUUACAAUGUGUCUUUGUUUGAUAGUUUGAUGACGGUGGGCCCCGAAAUAGCUUCUCAUCCAACGGCUAUUUCUGAUCCAAACACGUUCCUAACUUUUUCUUCUUUUCUUUUUAUAAUCAUCAUUUUUUCUGAUUUUCUCUCCCUCAUUUAUUUAUAUAUUUAUUGAGAGUCUGUCAUCCCGUUGUCAUUAGUUUCUGUUACUACUUCACUCUCCCUCUGUCUUCAAGAAAUGGAUCGUAGAAGUGCAUUUGCCGUUGCUUUGAUUUGCUUUGUGGUGACCGCUGUCGGUGGUCAAUCUCCGGCAGCCUCACCUACUAAAGCUCCGCCGGCAGCGACUACUCCUGCCACUGCUCCCGCUACUGCCCCUGUUAGCAAACCUAAAUCACCGGCUCCAACUGCUGCCCCUACCACUUCCCCACCAACUUCUUCACCACCGGCUGCGGCUCCGGAGAAGUCUGCGGCGGUUCCAGCCCCAUCUAAAUCUGCUCCGGCUUCUUCUCCUCCGGCUGCUGCUCCGGUGAGUUCUCCACCGGCUCCAGUACCUGUGAGCUCUCCUCCAGCCAAAUCGCCUCCCGUUGCUGCACCGACGACUCCACCAGAGAGCUCGGCCUCUCCUCCGGCUCUUGUUGCGGCACCAACUACUGCUGAGGUUCCGGCCCCAGCUCCAAGCAAGAGCAAGAGCAAAAGCAAGAAAUCCAAGAAACACCAUGCUCCGGCUCCUUCACCUGAUAUGCUUGGACCUCCCGCUCCACCAACUGGAGCUCCUGGACCUAGCCUCGAUGCUUCCUCUCCCGGUCCAUCUGUCGCUGCCGAUGAGGUACAUUCUCUUCUCUUUACUAACGCUUCAGUAGCUUACAUCAUAUAACAAUGCGCUUUCAGAUCUGAACUUUUACACUGCAUAAAUGUAGAGAGAUCUUGUUUUUCUUUUAAUCGCGUCUAAAGGAUGCACCGUUGAGCUAGUUCAUUUACUUUUCUGAAAAAGGACCGACCAAUGGAUCUUUUUUUCAUCUUAAAACUAUAUUUAUUUGUAACAUUUAAAGAGUUAUUAUUAACAAAUGCAGAGUGGAGCAGCGGCAAUGAAGAACAUGAAGAAGAUAAUUGGAGGGUUGGCGUUGGGAUGGGCAGCCAUUGCUUUGAGCUUCUAGAUUGGUUUUGAUCACAUUCCACAUUCUGCGUUCUAAUUCUUUGGUUGGUGUACUGAGAGGCGGAAACUCUAGUUUUUUUUUCCUAUGUAAUUUCCACCAUUCUUUUUUUUUCCCCUUCAUUUACCCAUUUUCUGUCUUUUAUUUCUCUAUUAUAUUUUAAUAAAAUCACAAUUUAUUUUACUAAUACCAAUGCUAAUGAAUCUCAAGAUCAUUUGUGCAGGUUAAACAUUGUAAAAGUAACAAAACUGAAACGAUCAUAUAGCUCAUGAACCAUUACAGGGAAAUUGGUUAGACAAUGUUCCAAUGAAAGUACAGGAAAGCUUAAAAUGGCAGCAAAUGCAUAUCUUACAAAUCAAUCUGAAUAUUUAGUUUAAUCUGAAAGAACAGUUUUGAGUAAAAAGUAAUUAGGCAUGGGGGCAUAAACCAGGAGAGACGUUAUUCAUUGGUUCCUAUCGUCUUCUCCCCCGGCUGCAAACACCAGACAGACUUACAUGUAUGAAACUUCUUACAUUCACAAUUGCCACGUAUCAGAAGAAGCACUUCACAAGAGGACUCUACAAAUUAAAAAUUCUCUUUUUCUCUACAACAAAACCCUGUAAAAUGUAAGCCCAAGCAGCAAACCUUCAAAAUGCAUUAUUUGAAGCAUCAAAUGUAUACAAACUGUAUUAGACCCAAUGCCUACUUUCAAGCGUGAUUCGUCCUUAAUUCUAAAGCUUUUAAUUUUAUUGGUUAAUAUUGGUGUUUUUGUCGUUUUCCCAUCAACCCAAAGCCAAAAGCAUGCAAAUUCCCUUCACUUGGAAUAUGGAGAUGGUAAAGUAGAAAAGUAUUCAUAAUACGCUAUGAUAUAUAUAUGCGUGUGUGCGUGUAAAUGGCCACUAUGAAGCGUGUGUGCGUGUAAAUGGCCACUAUGAAGCUUUCUUAUUUGCUCGAAAAAGAAGGCAAAUAUUAAUUAAUAAUAUAUAAUAUUUGGCAUUCAUUAAUAAGACUCAGUGAAAUAAAUAAUUAAGAUAAUAUAAUUAAUUUAAUAUAUACCAGGUUGAUUUAUCCAUUUAUGCUGAAAAAAAAAUCUACAUUUAAUUAUCUAUGUUUUUUUUUUAAUUUAUCAAUGUUGUUUUGAAGAGAGAAAGGAAAGCACGUCUUACAUGGUGCAUUUUCACUGUCUAUGUCAUUGAAAAUGCGUCUUAUAGGGCGUAUUUUUAGCUACGUCAGCUGAACAUGUGUCAUGUUUUCACAAAUUGACAAUUUAGCUCUUUUGAUCAGAUGGUUAAGCGUUAGUGUUUUUAGUCUUUAAGUCUUAGGUUCAAUUCCUCUCCUAUUCAUUUUUAUAAUUUUUAUUUCAUGUUAUUUUAAGUUUUUUUUAAUUAAUAUUUUUGACACAUUAGCUCUUUUGGUUAGAUGAUUAGAUAAUUGUGAUUUCUUCUUUCAGUCCUAAGUUUGAUUCCUUUUAUAAGAAUUUUAAUAUGUAUUUUUUAUUUCAAUUUUUUUAUUAUUUUUAAUUAAUAUUUUUAAUUAAUAAAUAUAUUGUUUUCAAGUUUUUUUAUUUUUUAUUUAUCUUUUUAAUUAAUAACUCUUUUAUUUAUAAAAUCAAAUAAUUAUUGAAAAUAUCAUUAUUUUUAGUAAAUAUAAUUUUUAUUUGUGUAAUUUUUAUCUUUCAAUCCAUAUCAUGAAUGUAGUAAAUUGACAUAUUAUAUAUUUUUGUAUAAUGUAUGAUGAUGAUGAAUAGAUAUAAAUUUAUUAUAUAUGACAAUCCAAUAAUAUAUUCUACGAUUCAUACAAUAUAUGAUGAUGAUGUAUAGAUAAUGAUUGUGGAAGGGUCGAGCUUUAUAGCAUUGAAGAAGAAUAUAGAUCGGCGAUAUUUUAAAACCGAAAAAUCUAUAUUGUGAUGCUGUGCAAAAUAAUAGGAGUGAGCAAAAUUCAUUUGAUCCAAAAAAAUUAAAUUUUGAGUUAAUUGAAUCGAGUUAUUUGAAUUAUUCAAGUCAACUCGAGUAAGUAAUUCGAGUUUCGAGUUCGAAUCGAGUUGAAUUUUACAAUUAAAAUAACUCGAAUAAUUCGAAUAACAUAUUGGUAUAAAUACCUUUUUGGUCUCUGCCAAGUUUGAAAAUGAACAAAUUGACCUCUCUCUCAAUAAAAAUUACAAAAUAAUUUUAAAAUUUCAAAAUAUUUAUAAAAAUUCCAAAUUUAUACUUUUUAAAAAUUAUAAAAAUUUCAAAAAAAAAUCUGAAAAAAUAUAAAGAAAGUUAAAAUAUUAAAAUUUUUCUAGAAUAAUAAUUUUGGGACCUAAAUAAGUUAAUUAAUGAUUCAAGUUUAUCAUACUAAAGUAAUUUUUUUAUUCUGCUUUGAAAAAGUUUUCAAAUAUAUAUGGUUUCAAAUGUAAGUGUUAUAACAUGGAAUUAGUUAUAGUAUAACAAGAUUUUAAUUUAACAUGUUUAAUUUUUUAAUUUAACUCGAACAAUUUCAUUCGAAUUGACUCGAAUUUUAUUUUACUCAAUUCAAUUUGAAAAAAAUUUAAAUCGAGUUAGAAUGAUAAAAUAAAACUCGUUAACUCAAUUAACUCAAAAAUUUUUAAUAGAGACAGUGGAAUACUCACUUUUACAUAAUAAUGUACCGAGAGAGGCCAAAGGGUGGAGGUGAAAUAAUUACACAACUCAACUAUUUUGCAAAACUUUUUUUAAAACUCUAAUAUAUAGAUGAUAAAAAAAAGCCUUAGCCACUUGACAAUUUUUAACGAAAAGAGAGAAGGUUAGGGUGUUUAAGUAUAAUACACGUCACGUUACUCCAGACAAGUUUUGCUUGCAGAGACACAGUUUCUUGCCGGUGAGUCGGUGACCCAUCUCAAAAUAUCACCCGUAACUGCUUUACCCGGUCACGCGGCCGCCUCCUAUUGGUUUGUCUCUUUGCGCAGCCAUAGCCCACUCUCCCUACGUCCAGCUGUCUCACUACUUCAUAACAAUUGUAUCAUUCAAUUAGUUAUUGUAGGUUUAAUUUUUUCCAACCCCUUUACUCUUUCAGCUUUUAAAUUUUAAUCUAUCACCUUUUAAUUCCCUAUCUCUCCUGCUUGAUUUAAAAAUUAAAAUUUAAUUAAUAACAUUUCCAUUCAAUUUAAAUAUAUAUUAUUAUUAUUUUUAGAUCAAAGCUUCGAAUAUUAAAAUUUAACCAAGUUUUCAUGAAUUGGACUUUUAAAUAAAAAUGAAGAGAAACUAAAUUUUUAAAAUCAAAAGUAGGAAGGCUAAAUUUUAAAACCCCAAAGAGUAUAGGGGUUGGGGAUAGAAUUAAACAUUUAUUAUAAUAUUAAUUAGUAGGGUAAACUACACCUAAGGUCACUAAAUUAUUAGUAAAUUCAUAUUUUGGUCACUUAACUUUAAAAAAUUACAACAUGGUCACUGAAUUAUUCAAAAGUAUUUAUUUAAGUCAUUGAGUUGUUAAGUAUUUUUUUAUGACGAUUGAUACAAUGGAUUAGUACCUAUGAAGAGUAGAACAUACCUUGUAAGAGAUCGAAAAAGAAAACUGUUUGAAUUUUGAUUCGUAAAUUCAUAACAUUUAAAGUUGCUCCACGAAAAUAAUUAAAUUGUUGAAGAGAAGAAGAAUGAGAUUUUAUGAUUGGUGCAGACCGUGUGUAUAAAGAAAGUUAUCCAACAGCGAUUUAAUAGCCCAAUGAAUUAAAUAAAAUCCUUCGAAUGAUUUAGUGACUAUUUUCUAACUUUUUGAAGUUGAACGACUUAAAUGUAAAUUUAUUAAUACUUCAGUGACCUUGGGUGUAGUUUACCCUACUCAGGUAAUGUAACAACAAAUUACAUGGUUCAUGUAUGUGGGCCCCCAAUCCAGACUGUCGAGUCUUGAUCGCCACAUUACAAUUUGAUGACGGUGGGCCCCGAAAUAGCUUCUCAUCCAACGGCUAUUUCUGAUCCAAACACGUUCCUAACUUUUUCUUCUUUUCUUUUUAUAAUCAUCAUUUUUUCUGAUUCUCUCCCUCAUUUAUUUAUAUAUUUAUUGAGAGUCUGUCGUCUCGUUGUCAUUAGUUUCUGUUACUACUUCACUCUCCCUCUGUCUUCAAGAAAUGGAUCGUAGAAGUGCAUUUGCAGUUGCUUUGAUUUGCUUUGUGGUAACCGCUGUCGGUGGUCAAUCUCCGGCAGCCUCACCUACUAAAGCUCCGCCGGCCGCGGCUACUCCUGCUACUGCUCCCGCUACUGCCCCUGUUAGCAAAUCUAAAUCACCGGCUCCAACUGCUGCCCCUACCACUUCCCCACCAACUUCUUCACCACCGGCUGCGGCUCCGGAGAAGUCUGCGGCGGUUCCAGCCCCAUCUAAAUCUGCUCCGGCUUCUUCUCCUCCGGCUGCUGCUCCGGUGAGUUCUCCACCUGCUCCAGUACCUGUGAGCUCUCCUCCAGCCAAAUCGCCUCCCGUUGCUGCACCGACGACUCCACCAGAGAGCUCGGCCUCUCCUCCGGCUCCUGUUGCUGCACCAACUACUGCUGAGGUUCCGGCCCCAGCUCCAAGCAAGAGCAAGAGCAAAAGCAAGAAAUCCAAGAAACACCAUGCUCCGACUCCUUCACCUGAUAUGCUUGGACCUCCCGCUCCACCAACUGGAGCUCCUGGACCUAGCCUCGAUGCUUCCUCUCCCGGUCCAUCUGUCGCUGCCGAUGAGGUACAUUCUUUUUCUUUACUAACGCUUCAGUAGCUUACAUCAUAUAACAAUGCGCUUUCAG